CAAUAGCGUAUAUUUAAGUUGUUGCAGUUAAAAAGCUCGUAGUUGGAUUUCUGCUGAUCGCUGUCGGUCUGCCGUCAGGUGUGUACUGGCAGUGUUUGGCAUCUAUUCGAGGUUGGGUGUCCACUUGAUUGUGUGCACUCGAUGUCGGAGCUAAUACUUUGAGAAAAUUAGAGUGUUCCACGCAGGCGCGUGCCUUGAAUACUGCAGCAUGGGAUAUUGGAAGGCCGAUUGAGCUUUCUUGUUGGUUCUCGGUUUGAUCGGAAUGAUUAAUAGGGAUAGUUGGGGGCAUUCGUAUUCAACUGUCAGAGGUGAAAUUCUUGGAUUUGUUGAAGACGGACUACUGCGAAAGCAUCUGCCAUGGAUGUUCUCAUUGA
rnacentral:rRNA from 1 species